rnacentral:lncRNA from 1 species
UGGAUUUUGUCUUAGUCUAAUACGUAGGUAAUGCGCCUUUAACCAUAAGCCGUCCAUUACAAAAUCGAGGUUUCGAGAACCUUAUGUACUUGUUGGCAUUUUAAGGUUUAUGGCUGGCGUGACGUGUUUGAUUUUACUUUUUAGUGAAAUACACUUUAUAUACACUGGCUUUUGUCCUAGUCUCAUACAUAGGUACUGCGUCUUCAAUUAUAAGUCGUCCGUUACAAAAUCGAGGUUUCGAGAACCUUAUGUGCUUGUUGGCAUUUUAAGGUUGAUGGCUGGCGUGACGUGUUUGAUUUUACUUUUUAGUGAAAUACACUUUAUAUACACUGGUUUUUAUCUUAGUCUAAUAUGUAGGUACUACGCCUUCAACUAUAAGCCGUCCAUUACAAAAUCAAGGUUUCGAGAACUUGAUGUGCUUGUUGGCAUUUUAAGGUUGAUGAAUGAUGUGACAUGUUUGGUUUUAGGCAUAUGACAUUGUAUCUUGUUUCACAAGGUUGUCACACUUUAGAUAUUUGGAUGCUCCCAACUUUGAAAGAGAUCCUACGUGUUUUACAUUUAGAAGCAAAAAUAUUUAUUGUGUGAAGACAGAUGACGCUAUUGUAUCAUGGUUCCACACACGGUUUGUGCUAGAAUUUUGGACUUGCCUUUUUUCCGCAGAAAAUUGAAGCAUAUGUUAUUUUAAGUAAAACAAUUGUGUAUAUUAAUGGCGGGGCUAUACAUGUUUGGGGGGGAUUGGAAAAAUCAUUGAUUUUUUUUCUAGCACUAAGAUUGAAGAAAGUAUAGUCAUCCCCUCCCUCCCCAACCAUUCAUAUUUUCUGUUUUAGCCCCUACCAUUCUCGGCUAGCAUCGCCACUGAUAUAUACAUUAAUGUGUAUAGGUCUAACAGCUAGAUGCCACGCUCUAACUAUAAUAUGAGAUUUUCUCUUCAAGAAGUUGUUUCCCAAAAUGAAGCCCACAACGGAUGGCGUGCCAUAGGUACUAUGUGUGAUGAGUGGCUCUUGGCGUUUAUGAGGUGUUGGUGGCUAGCGUGGCGUGUUUCUUUGAUGGUCCCGGUGUUGUAUAACUCUUUGAUGGGGGGCUUGCAUUAGAAUUUGGUUUUCCCGUGCUUUUGCCGAAAUCUAUGGUCUUUCAAGAAAACUUUGAAAUGAUUUGCAACAAGCUAUAUUGGGUUCCCUUUCUUGCAAUCAAAGCAACAUGAAUAGAAAGUCAAAAAGGAUGGAAUCGAAGGCAUAAAUCAAACCCAAAUUAGACUGGCCAACAGAGAAAAUCCACCGUUGUUUUCACCACAAAAUCAAAUCAGGCAAGAGGGGAAAUCAACAGGAGAAGAAACCACACGAAUGCCCUCUUCUUUCCCUACGAUGUCUCCCUCUUCCUCAGCGUGGACCACAUCACCGGUUGUGUGAGGCCAAGUUGGCUAAGGUUUAAACAAGGUAUAGGCAAACAUGCUGCUUUGACCUAUGCACGACCUCUGCUUUCCACUCCUCGUAGUCCCAUGUAGCCUAGGUUGAGUGAGAGAAGGGGGAUUGGAUGUAGAGGCAAAC